CUCUGUCUCUCUUUUAUGAAAGAAGGUAAGAUUAAAAGCCAAUGUAAACACAACACAGAUGACAAUAAAGCCCUGUCGGCGCAUUUAUUCAAGUUUCAUACAUCAUAAAGAAUUCAUAAGUUCUAGAAUCCAUGGCAUAGAAAAAUUUAUGCAUCAAAUUUUACAAGUCCUAAACAUCAUCAAUCAAACUGUUAUCUACAACAUCUUUAUCUAAGCCAAAUUGCUCCAAGCUUGUUGAUCCUAUGACCCUUAUAAUAGCCCUUUCAGGACCCACCGUCUUCAACCAUUCAACAUUGACCUAUCAAGAAAUCAUUUCUCUGUAAAAAUUCCUUCUACUCUUUCCAAUAGUGGAAGAAUUCUACGGGGAAGACAGGUGCAAACCUUUGAUGCCUCUAGUUUUGAAGAGAGUUACAUAGCAGAAGAUGAUACAUUUAUUGGAAGUAGAACAUAACAUUUUAUAUAGAGUGUUGUUAGGCCAACUUGUAGUAGCAAUUAUUUUCUGAAAGGAGAAGGUCGUAGC
rnacentral:lncRNA from 1 species